CUAAACAGUCGGCAAUGGACUCCAUUGAAUUUUCACCCAAAAAGCAGCCAAGUUGGAUUUUUAAGAAAACGAAUCAACAAGAUAUGAUAGACGAAAUGAGAGCGGACAUUAAACGUUUGUGUGUCACCACGGAGCAGCUAAAAAAUGGGAUCUGCACAUUGGCAGCAUUUUUUCAAUAAAAUCAUAAAAAUUUA